AACACUUCUCGGCCUUUUGGCUAAGAUCAAGUGUUGUAUCUGUUCUUAUCAAAGCGGAGAGCCGCUUGGUCUGCUAUUUGGAUCGUUGCAUGCGAUAUUGAUCCUUUUGACGGCAAUUGAGCAGGUUGGCCGAGUACACCGCUCUCAAAGUCAGUAAGGAGGAACAAUAGCUGUUUUUACGACUACCUAAU